AUUGAACGCUGGCGGCAGGCUUAACACAUGCAAGUCGAACGAGUGGCGGACGGGUGAGUAAUGCUUGGGAAUCUAGCUUAUGGAGGGAGAUCAAUACGGGAAACGGUAGCUAAUACCGCAUACCAUCAGAUGUGCCCAGAUGGGAUUAGCUAGUUGGUGGGGUAAUGGCGCACCUAGGCGACGAACCCUAGCUGGGCUGAGUGGCUGACCAGCCACACUGGAACGGAUACACGGUCCAGACUCCUACGUGAGGUAGCAGUGGGUAAUAUGGCGUAAUGGGCGCAAGCCUGAUGCAGCCAUGCCGCGUGUGAGAAGAAGGCCGGCGGGUUGUAAAGCACUCUCAGCGAAGAGGCGGUACUCGCAGAAGAAGCACCGGCUAACUCCGUGCCAGCAGCCGCGGUAAUUC
rnacentral:rRNA from 1 species